rnacentral:ncRNA from 3 species
AUAACUGGCUUGUGGCAGCCAAGCGUUC